GUGUGCUUCUAUUUUUGAAAAGUUAGGUUUAAUUCCAGUUGUUUUGCCCCCAACAGCUUUGCUGUUUGGGGGACCUUUCUGAGUUUAAUAUUACGGAUGGAUAGCACGGCUAUGAACAAGAUGAUAGAACAAACGAUGACGAGAAAGGAAAUGGACACAAAGAAUGAAGGUGAGGAGAGAUGUAAAGACAAAGUUCAGCAAACUGAAAAUGACAAAAGAAAGAGAAAUCAUAAUGAGAAAGGACAUGGAACAAGCAAAGGAAUAGGAAGUGAACGACAAGAGAGUGUGAAGAACUGUGGUGAAGUGAGUGGAGAACAGAGAGUGAAAUACUGCAAGGAGCUAACUGUGGAGGUGGAGGUGGAAGGAACUGAGAAUGUUUCCAUGAUGGAAUUACUGAAGGGGGUGAAGGAGCAAUGUGGAGAAGUGAUGGGCUGCAGAGUGAGAAGCGAAAGGAUUUAUGAACUAACAAUGAAAGACAAUGAGGCAAAGAGCAAACUAAUGGAUGGGGUGAGAAUAAAAGGAGCGAUGGUGCAUGCCAGAGACAUUAUUAACAACGAGAUGGUGGUGUCUUUUAUAAAUCUACCGGUGUAUCUAGAAGAUGAAAAGAUAUUCACUAAACUGGAGGAGUGGGGAGUAAAACCGAUUUCAGCAAUCAAACGGCGGAUAUGGCCUGGAACAGAGACAGCUGAUGGAACAAGAUUUCUAAAGGUUCGCUUCACUGAGCAAGUGCGGUCACUUCCAUAUUCUACAAAGUUUGAGACUUUGAGGGGCACGGAAUAUUUUCGUGUUAUUCACGAUAGACAAGUGCGUGUCUGUAGACUAUGUAUUAAACCAGGGCACAUAUUCAGAGAGUGCCCUGAGUUUAAAUGCUUCAAAUGUGGCAAGGAGGGACACUACGCGAGAGAGUGUGAUGAUCGAAGGGGAGAAGAAAGAGUGGAGGAAAGUGGACAAGAAGAUGAUGGUGAAAGAACAGAAAACAAGCGGACAGAGGAGCAGGACGAGGAGGUCGGCGAUGAUGUGGAGAGAGAGAUGAAGGGCGAAGGCGAGGCUGGCGAAGGUGGAGAUAAAAUGGAAUGGAGAUAUAGGUCUGAAAGUACGAGCGAGGAUGGCGAUGAUGAGGAGGAGAUGGAGCAGAAGGGAGAAAGCGAGGAGGGAGAAGAAGGUUGCGAGAAGGAGAGAGAUGGAGUGGUGGAAAAGAAAGAAACAGUACAAGAGCCAAGAUCAAGAAGUGGAGGAGUAAGGAGGGAGGAGGAGAGAGGAGUGGGCUUGAGAAGCGUGAAGAUGACAACUAAGAGACUGAGUGCUAAGAGAAAGGCGAAGAAGGACAGAGAACGAGCUGAACAGAUUAAAGAACAACGAUCGGUGUGCUCUUGACCUAGCAGUGCAUCUACUGGAAGAUGCGGGUUGACUCCAAACAGCAAGUAAUGUGAUGGCAAUAAAGUCGUCGUAUUCUGCAUCCUCAGGAGUGGCAGGCUCCCCUGCUGAUUGCUGCCUAGAGAGGGCAUCUGCAGCUGCAUUAUGCCGUCCUGGGUGGUAUUUCACCUCAAAAUCAAAGACGGAAAGUUUGACAUUAAAACGUUAUGUUUACUGUUCAGCCGGUUCCCGCCUCAU